rnacentral:rRNA from 1 species
CGGGACGGGUGAGUAACGCGUGGGUAACCUGCCUCACACAGGGGGAUAACAGUUGGAAACGGCUGCUAAUACCGCAUAAGCGCACAGUACCGCAUGGUACAGUGUGAAAAACUCCGGUGGUGUGAGAUGGACCCGCGUCUGAUUAGCUAGUUGGCAGGGCAACGGCCUACCAAGCCGACGAUCAGUAGCCGACCUGAGAGGGUGACCGGCCACAUUGGGACUGAGACACGGCCCAA